rnacentral:rRNA from 1 species
GAACUUAGCAGAGAUGCUUUGGUGCCUUCGGGAACUCUGAGACAGGUGCUGCAUGGCUGUCGUCAGCUCGUGUUGUGAAAUGUUGGGUUAAGUCCCGNAACGAGCGCAACCCUUAUCCUUUGUUGCCAGCGGCUCGGCCGGGAACUCAAAGGAGACUGCCGGUGAUAAACCGGAGGAAGGUGGGGAUGACGUCAAGUCAUCAUGGCCCUUACGGCCAGGGCUACACACGUGCUACAAUGGCGCAUACAAAGAGAAGCGACCUCGCGAGAGCAAGCGGACCUCAUAAAGUGCGUCGUAGUCCGGAUUGGAGUCUGCAACUCGACUCCAUGAAGUCGGAAUCGCUAGUAAUCGUAGAUCAGAAUGCUACGGUGAAUACGUUCCCGGGCCUUGUACACACCGCCCGUCACACCAUGGGAGUGGGUUGCAAAAGAAGUAGGUAGCUUAACCUUCGGGAGGGCGCUUACCACUUUGUGAUUCAUGACUGGGGUGAAGUCGUAACAAGGUAAGCGUACGUGU